rnacentral:rRNA from 1 species
AUCGAACGCUGGCGGCAGGCCUAACACAUGCAAGUCGGACGGUAGCACAGAGGAGCUUGCUCCUCAGGUGACGAGUGGCGGACGGGUGAGUAAUGUCUGGGGAUCUGCCCGAUAGGGGGGGAUAACCACUGGAAACGGUGGCUAAUACCGCAUAACGUCGCAAGACCAAAGAGGGGGACCUUCGGGCCUCUCACUAUCGGAUGAACCCAGAUGGGAUUAGCUAGUAGGCGGGGUAACGGCCCACCUAGGCGACGAUCCCUAGCUGGUCUGAGAGGAUGACCAGCCACACUGGAACUGAGACACGGUCCAGACUCCUACGGGAGGCAGCAGUGGGGAAUAUUGCACAAUGGGCGCAAGCCUGAUGCAGCCAUGCCGCGUGUAUGAAGAAGGCCUUCGGGUUGUAAAGUACUUUCAGCGGGGAGGAAGGCGAUGUGGUUAAUAACCGCAUUGAUUGACGUUACCCGCAGAAGAAGCACCGGCUAACUCCGUGCCAGCAGCCGCAGUAA